rnacentral:rRNA from 1 species
AUUGAACGCUGGCGGUAUGCUUUACACAUGCAAGUCGAACGGAUUAAGAAGCUUGCUUCUUAGUUAGUGGCGAACGGGUGAGUAAUAUAUCGGAACAUAUCCGGAAGUGGGGGAUAACGUAGCGAAAGUUACGCUAAUACCGCAUAUGCCCUGAGGGGGAAAGGGGGGGAUCGCAAGACCUCUCGCUUUCGGAGUGGCCGAUAUCGGAUUAGCUAGUAGGUGAGGUAAAGGCUCACCUAGGCGACGAUCCGUAGCUGGUCUGAGAGGACGACCAGCCACACUGGAACUGAGACACGGUCCAGACUCCUACGGGAGGCAGCAGUGGGGAAUUUUGGACAAUGGGCGAAAGCCUGAUCCAGCCAUACCGCGUGAGUGAAGAAGGCCUUCGGGUUGUAAAGCUCUUUCAGACGGAAAGAAAAGGUUUCGGAUAACACCUGGAACUGAUGACGGUACCGUAAGAAGAAGCACCGGCUAACUACGUG